rnacentral:rRNA from 1 species
CCUACGGGAGGCAGCAGUGAGGAAUAUUGGUCAAUGGACGAGAGUCUGAACCAGCCAAGUAGCGUGAAGGAUGACUGCCCUAUGGGUUGUAAACUUCUUUUAUAUGGGAAUAAAAUGUUCCACGUGUGGGAUUUUGUAUGUACCAUAUGAAUAAGGAUCGGCUAACUCCGUGCCAGCAGCCGCGGUAAUACGGAGGAUCCGAGCGUUAUCCGGAUUUAUUGGGUUUAAAGGGAGCGUAGGUGGAUUGUUAAGUCAGUUGUGAAAGUUUGCGGCUCAUCCGUAAAAUUGCAGUUGAAACUGGCAGUCUUGAGUACAGUAGAGGUGGGCGGAAUUCGUGGUGUAGCGGUGAAAUGCUUAGAUAUCACGAAGAACUCCGAUUGCGAAGGCAGUUCACUGGACUGCAACUGACACUGAGGCUCGAAAGUGUAGGUAUCAAACAGGAUUAGAUACCCGAGUAGUC